rnacentral:ncRNA from 1 species
AAAUUCGAUUUGAAAAGAUGAGUAGACGUUACCCAAUUCCAAAGAGAGCUCCUGAUGGUGAAACGGAGUGUUGAGGGGACAUCGAAUAUGGUCUUUGCUGAAUAAAGCGUCGGCGAGCUUCGAGAAAGUAAGCUGACGAUGGUGGUGCCCAUUAACGCACAUGAGUUUAUGACUCAAUGAGUUAACAAUCGCGAGAUUGUUAAGAAUUUAGGUGGUAACACGAAAAGAAGCCCUUUUCGUCCUAUUA